GAUGAACGCUGGCGGCGUGCCUAAUACAUGCAAGUCGAGCGAACAGACGAGGAGCUUGCUCCUCUGACGUUAGCGGCGGACGGGUGAGUAACACGUGGAUAACCUACCUAUAAGACUGGGAUAACUUCGGGAAACCGGAGCUAAUACCGGAUAAUAUAUUGAACCGCAUGGUUCAAUAGUGAAAGACGGUUUUGCUGUCACUUAUAGAUGGAUCCGCGCCGCAUUAGCUAGUUGGUAAGGUAACGGCUUACCAAGGCAACGAUGCGUAGCCGACCUGAGAGGGUGAUCGGCCACACUGGAACUGAGACACGGUCCAGACUCCUACGGGAGGCAGCAGUAGGGAAUCUUCCGCAAUGGGCGAAAGCCUGACGGAGCAACGCCGCGUGAGUGAUGAAGGUCUACGGAUCGUAAAACUCUGUUAUUAGGGAAGAACAAAUGUGUAAGUAACUAUGCACGUCUUGACGGUACCUAAUCAGAAAGCCAUGGCUAACUACGUG
rnacentral:rRNA from 1 species